UUUCCCAAGAAGAGGCUUUGUUCCAUUUUCUAAUUGCCAUGUUGUACUCCUCAUCCACCAUGGAAGUAGUGUGCAUUGCAAUAGUGAAACCUGAAGGUGACAACCAUGGACCACUAUGGCCAGAUCCUUAUCUGUCAGGGACCAAAUAUUGCUACGGAGUUGUUGGUCCAAAAAGCAGAACUACCAUUGCUAUGGUUCUGCUGGGCAAAUGAGGGAAAGACCAUAGAAUUGACUUCCCUUGAACUGAGACCUCUACUUCUUUUGAAACCGAGCCCUAUAUCAUUCUGAAAAGGAGUAUCUUAAUUAGAAACAGCAGCCACACCCUCUUUAGGCCUCCAGCCAUUAGGAAGCCAGGCUGUCUACUGGUGAAGGGCAGCUUUGUGUGCACUGAUAGAACCUGAAGUGCUAAUCGUAAGAGGUUUUUGCAAAAAAUACAGGCUCACAAAAUAUUUUUGAGUAAAUAUCAAGCUUCCUGCUCAGACCCAUCAUCUAAUAGACUGCUCGUACCUCAGCCAAGGCAUGAUAUUUGGGACAUGACCGAGCAAACUCUUCAGUCAUGCCUGCGUGGGAGAAAAGGCGUGUGACUGCCAGAGCUAAUUUAAGUUUCUCUUUUAGUUCAAGUAAUGAGCUGCUACUUGUGCAGAUGGAGUCUCAGUUCAAGUCUCAGUGUAAACAGAUGCUUUACAACUGUUAUAGCACAUAAUCUGGUUUAAAAAUUUCCCCUCGCUCAUUCUGUAUCUCCUCCUUCAAUAUGAAAAUCUCUUGUUUGAUACUUUUGUGGUUUGUAGCCAUGGUCAUAAACAUUUCAGAGGGUUGUGGGGUGGUUUUUGUUUUGUUUUGACCCAUUUCUUUAUGUGGGCUUAGGAUAAAAUUUUGUAAAGUCCGUAUAUGAAGUCAAUGGGACUAAGAUGCUUAAUUGUCCAAGUUACUUUUAAAUAUGGGACUUAGACUCCUAUGUUAUUUAGACACUUUGGAAAAUGUCUCCUUUUAGCAGUUAGCAAAUGUUUCUGAAUGAGCUUUCUUAUUAGGAAAUGUAUUUAUCUAGGAUAAUCAGCUAAGAAUGGAGCAUGGUGAUUCCAGGGAGAUUCUUCCUUUCUUUUAGUCAGAUUUUACCAUUAACUGAGGAAUAAGGUGAAUAAGUGAUUCACCCAAGUGACACAAUGAGUCAGUAAUUCAGCUCAAAUUAGAAGUUCAACCUGUAUCUUCCUACCAAACAUUUCCUUUAAUUUACCAAGUAGAAUGGCUCACUUUAACUCCACAAGUGUCAGAAGCCAUCCUGACAUAUUUCACAGACUCUGCCUGAUUAAAGUGGCUUGAGAAUAUUCAGAGCACUCCUGGUCAAGGUUUGUUAAAAGUGAAACAAAAUAAAAAUCUGCAUUGCACUUUUUUAGAGAUUUGCAGUGGCACUUGAUGGCAAAGUCCUGAAGCAUGGAAUCUAUGAAAC